rnacentral:ribozyme from 1 species
AUGCACGUCCCAGGCCAUCCGAAGGACAAAAAGUACGAGUUCGGCAUGCUGACUUUGUUCGCUUACAAGGUCAAAGACAGCGAAAACGAUGAA